AGUGAACGCUGGCGGUAGGCCUAACACAUGCAAGUCGAACGGCAGCACAGUAAGAGCUUGCUCUUACGGGUGGCGAGUGGCGGACGGGUGACGAAUACAUCGGCAUCUACUUUUUCGGGGGGGAUAACGUAGGGCCACUUACGCUACUACCGCAUACGACCUACGGGUGAAAGCAGUGGAGCUUCAGACCUUUCCCGAUUCAAUGAGCCGAUGUCGGAUUAGCUAGUUGGCGGGGUAAGGGCCCACCAAGGCGACGAUCCGUAGCGGGUCUGAGAGGAUGAUCGGCCACACUGGAACUGAGACACGGUCCAGACUCCUACGGGAGGCAGCAGUGGGGAAUAUUGGGCAAUGGGCGCAAGCCUGAUCCAGCCAUACCGCGUGGGUGAAGAAGGCCUUCGGGUUGUAAAGCCCUUUUGUUGGGAAAGAAAAGCAGCAGGUGAAUACACCGCUGUUCUGACGGUACCCAAAGAAUAAGCACCGGCUAACUUCGUG
rnacentral:rRNA from 1 species